rnacentral:hammerhead_ribozyme from 1 species
GCACUGCUGAGGAGUCCCAUAAUAGGACGAAACAGCCGCCCAGUGC